rnacentral:rRNA from 1 species
GAUGAACGCUAGCUACAGGCUUAACACAUGCAAGUCGAGGGACCGGCGCACGGGUGAGUAACACGUAUCCAACCUGCCCUUUACUCGGGGAUAGCCUUUCGAAAGAAAGAUUAAUACCCGAUAUAAAGGAUGGGGAUGGGUUCCAUUGGGUUGUUGGGGAGGUAAAGGCUCACCAAGCAUUCGCUGGAUAGGGGUUCGUAGGGGAAGGUCCCCCACAUGGGAACUGAGACCCGGGCCAAACGCCUACGGGAGGCAGCAGUGAGGAAGAUUGGUCAAUGGGCGCUAGCCUGAACCAGCCAAGUAGCGUGAAGGAUGAAGGCUUAUGGGUCGUAAACUUCUUGUAUAUAAGAAUAUGUAUUAUAUGAAUAAGGAUCGGCUAACUCCGUGCCAGCAGCCGCGGUAAUAC